UCGGGAAUGCCUUCGGGCGUAACCUGCAACCCAAUGUUUUAUAUUUCCUUGUUUCUUUGGCGGGCUCGGGCCCGUCAGAAGACAUCUCAAACUCAUCAUAAACGUGUCCUCUGAAUAACUACAAAAAUAAAGCA
rnacentral:misc_RNA from 1 species